rnacentral:rRNA from 1 species
CUACGGAUGCUCCAGUGAGGAAUAUUGCACAAUGGGGGGAACCCUGAUGCAGCAACGCCGCGUGGAGGAUGACGCAUUUCGGUGUGUAAACUCCUUUUAUAUGUCAAGAAAAUGACGGUAGCAUAUGAAUAAGCACCGGCUAACUCCGUGCCAGCAGCCGCGGUAAUACGGAGGGUGCAAGCGUUACUCGGAAUCACUGGGCGUAAAGGACGCGUAGGCGGGUUGGAAAGUCAGGUGUGAAAUCCUACAGCUUAACUGUAGAACUGCACUUGAAACUUCUAAUCUAGAGUAUGGGAGGGGGAGAUGGAAUUAGUGGUGUAGGGGUAAAAUCCGUAGAUAUCACUAGGAAUACCUAAAGCGAAGGCGAUCUCCUGGAACAUUACUGACGCUAAGGCGUGAAAGCGUGGGGAGCAAACAGGAUUAGAUACCCUUGUAGUC